rnacentral:tRNA from 1 species
GGGGUCGUUGCCUAGCCAGGUAUGGCGACGGGCUCCAGACCCGUAGAUCGCCGGUUCAAUUCCGGUCGGCCCCA